UACGUAGGGUGCAAGCGUUAAUCGGAAUUACUGGGCGUAAAGCGUGCGCAGGCGGUUGUGUAAGACAGAUGUGAAAUCCCCGGGCUCAACCUGGGAACUGCCUUUGUGACUGCAAGGCUUGAGUGCGGCAGAGGGGGAUGGAAUUCCGCGUGUAGCAGUGAAAUGCGUAGAUAUGCGGAGGAACACCGAUGGCGAAGGCAAUCCCCUGGGCCUGCACUGACGCUCAUGCGCGAAAGCGUGGGGAGCGAUCCGG
rnacentral:rRNA from 1 species